GUUGAACGCUGGCGGCGUGCCUAACACAUGCAAGUCGAGCGGAUAAAUGAGGCUUUUUCCUCUCUUCAGCGACCGGCGGGUGAGUAAUUCCUAGGAAUCUACCUGAUAUUUGGGGAUGACGUCCGGUAAGGGGCCCUAAUAUCGCAUACGUCCUUAUAUUGAAAGUGGAGGUUCUUCAGUGCUCACCCUAUUAGAUGAGCCUAGGUCGGAUUAGCUAGUUGGUUUGGUAAAGGCCUACCAAGGCGACGAUCCGUAACUGGUCUGAGAGGAUGAUCAGUCACACUGGAACUGAGACACGGUCCAGACUCCUACGGGAGGCAGCAGUGGGGAAUAUUGGACAAUGGGCGAAAGCCUGACGCAGCAAUGCCGCGUGUGUGAAGAAGGUCUUCGGAUCGUAAAGCACUGUAAGUUGGGAGGAGGGGAAGUAAGUUAAAAUCUGGAUGUCUUGACGUUACCAAAAGAAAAAGCCACGGCUAACUUCGUG
rnacentral:rRNA from 1 species